UUUGGAUUGUACACUUUGUCAGUGCCCGAUCUCUUCUGAUCUUGGAAGCUCAGCUGGGUUAAACCUGGUUAGGACUUGGAUGGGAGAUCGCUGGGAAUACGAGGUGCCACAG
rnacentral:rRNA from 1 species